rnacentral:rRNA from 1 species
GACGAACGCUGGCGGCGUGCCUAAUACAUGCAAGUCGAGCGCAGGAAGCUGACGGAACUCUUCGGAGGGAAGGCAGUGGAAUGAGCGGCGGACGGGUGAGUAACACGUAAGGAACCUGCCUCAAGGAUUGGGAUAACUCCGAGAAAUCGGAGCUAAUACCGGAUAGUUCAACGGACCGCAUGGUCCGCUGAUGAAAGGCGUUCCGGCGUCACCUUGAGAUGGCCUUGCGGUGCAUUAGCUAGUUGGUGGGGUAACGGCCCACCAAGGCGACGAUGCAUAGCCGACCUGAGAGGGUGAUCGGCCACACUGGGACUGAGACACGGCCCAGACUCCUACGGGAGGCAGCAGUAGGGAAUCUUCCACAAUGGACGAAAGUCUGAUGGAGCAACGCCGCGUGAGUGAUGAAGGCUUUCGGAUCGUAAAACUCUGUUGUAAGGGAAGAACACGUACGAGAGGAAAUGCUCGUACCUUGACGGUACCUUACGAGAAAGCCACGGCUAACUACGUGCCAGCAGCCGCAGUAACAC